rnacentral:tRNA from 1 species
GGAAAGAUGGCCGAGCGGUUUAAGGUAUAGCAUUGGAAAUGCUACGUAGGCUUUUCGUUUACCGAGGGUUCGAAUCCCUCUCUUUCCG